GACGAACGCUGGCGGCGUGCCUAAUACAUGCAAGUCGAGCGGACUGAUUAAGAGCUUGCUCUUAUGACGUUAGCGGCGGACGGGUUAGUAACACGUGGGCAACCUGCCCUGUAGAUCGGGCUAACACCGAUAAAUCGUUGCUAAUACCGGGUAAUAUCUAAGAUCACAUGCUCUUAGGUUAAAAGAUGGCUCCGGCUAUCACUACAGGAUGGGCCCGCGGCGCAUUAGCUAGUUGGUAAGGUAAUGGCUUACCAAGGCGACGAUGCGUAGCCGACCUGAGAGGGUGAUAGGCGACACUGGGACUGAGACACGGCCCAGACUCCUACGGGAGGCAGCAGUAGGGAAUAUUCCGCAAUGGAGGAAAGUCUGACGGAGCAACGCCGCGUGAGUGAUGAAGGGGUCCGGCGAGUAAAGACCUGUUGUUAGGGAAGAAACAGGACCGAACGAACUAGGUCGGUACCUUGACGGUACCUAAACAGAAAGCAACGGCUAACUACGUG
rnacentral:rRNA from 1 species